GAGAGUUAAACAGUACGUGAAAUUGUUGAAAGGGAAACGAUUGAAGUCAGUCAUACUAACGGGAAAUCAACCUCUUGAGUUUGGUCUCGUGGGUUUCGAAGAGUUUAAAAGCCUUCGGAUUUUCGAGAUUGGGCUCUUCUGGUGUACUUUCUCGUACGGUUAGUCAACAUCGGUUUUGAAUGUCAUAAAAUGACUGGAGGAAUGUGGCUUCGAUCUCGUAUUGAAGUGUUAUAACCUUUGGUAGAUGUGAUGUUUGAGACCGAGGAUUGCAACGGAUACCCUUCUGGGCUAUUCGUCUGAUCUCUGAAACGUUGCCUUGAUGUCGAAAGCUUGCUUAUGAUGUUUAGGGUAUUACGGUCAAAAGGUUAGAACGGAUUAAAUUCGUUAAGGAUGUUGACGUAAUGACUUUAAACGA
rnacentral:rRNA from 1 species